GAUGAACGCUGGCGGCGUGCCUAAUACAUGCAAGUCGAGCGAACAGAUGAGGAGCUUGCUCCUCUGACGUUAGCGGCGGACGGGUGAGUAACACGUGGAUAACCUACCUAUAAGACUGGGAUAACUUCGGGAAACCGGAGCUAAUACCGGAUAAUAUAUUGAACCGCAUGGUUCAAUAGUGAAAGACGGUUUUGCUGUCACUUAUAGAUGGAUCCGCGCCGCAUUAGCUAGUUGGUAAGGUAACGGCAUACCAAGGCGACGAUGCGUAGCCGACCUGAGAGGGUGAUCGGCCACACUGGAACUGAGACACGGUCCAGACUCCUACGGGAGGCAGCAGUAGGGAAUCUUCCGCAAUGGGCGAAAGCCUGACGGAGCAACGCCGCGUGAGUGAUGAAGGUCUUCGGAUCGUAAAACUCUGUUAUUAGGGAAGAACAAAUGUGUAAGUAACUAUGCACGUCUUGACGGUACCUAAUCAGAAAGCCACGGCUAACUACGUG
rnacentral:rRNA from 1 species